rnacentral:rRNA from 1 species
UACGUAGGGUGCAAGCGUUGUCCGGAAUUAUUGGGCGUAAAGGGCUCGUAGGCGGUUUGUCGCGUCGGGAGUGAAAUCCACUGGCUUAACUGGUGGCUUGCUUUCGAUACGGGCAGACUGGAGGUAUGCAGGGGAGAACGGAAUUCCUGGUGUAGCGGUGAAAUGCGCAGAUAUCAGGAGGAACACCGGUGGCGAAGGCGGUUCUCUGGGCAUGUCCUGACGCUGAGGAGCGAAAGUGUGGGGAGCGAACGGG